rnacentral:lncRNA from 1 species
GCUUAGCUGAGAUCAAAAGAAACUGCCCAGCUGACCUGCAGACUCAUGAGCAGAAUAAAUGGUUGUUAUUUUAAGCUACUAGAUUCUCCUUGAACUCUAAGCCUGGAGGCUUUAGUGAUUCAGGCAGGAGAGGUUAGGUUCCUGACUUCUUUAGCAAGAGAUAGGUUUGAGCAUUAGGCAUUGUUGAGAAGGGAGAUUUUUCUAAAUUUCUUUAGUUGUUUUUUUUUCAUAGCAAAAGCCAGUUUCCCUAGACUUUCUCUUAUUUAGUAAAAAAAGAAAUACUUAUCCCCAUCUAGGCUUAGCCUCAAAGCUGGAAUUGAGAAGGAGAAUAUGACACAGAGAAAGCCUGUCCCUUCUGGUGAGAUGUUUGAGGGGAUAAGAGGAGUCAGACAGAGUGAGAGACUGAGGAAGAAAAAGAAGCCCUUUGGACAUGUAGGUCCUGGAUAUUCUGUCUCAUGAAGAUGAGGAACAGCAUUAGAGGACGCUGUGCAGAUCUGAGUGGUAGUAGCCGGGGAUUCAGGUCUUCUUCUAUCUCUCCAUUGAUGGCUCUGGAGUCUGUAAUGCUCCUCUGGUUGUCUUCACUGAUGGAUGGAUCUUCACACCAAGAUUUGGGCGAUUUAUACAAUGUGAUGGGAACACAGUAUAAUCUUUAUAGUGCUUCUCUUCUAAGAGCUUCUAAAAAACCCCACUUCCUGCUGCACAGCAGCUGGCCAUUUUGAUGAAGACUUCAUCCUGUGAUGCUACUACCUGGAUCAUCUAAGUCUCACUCUGUUGCCCAGCCUGGAUUGCAGUGACAUGAUCACAGCUCACUACAACCUCAACCUCCCUGGGAUCAAGCUAUCCUCCCAUCUUAGCUUCCCAAGUCAUUGGGACUACAGGGAAUGUGCCGCUGUGCCCAGCCAAACUGGAUCUUCAGUAUGUUUAUGUAACUUUCCGGGAGCAGAGGUAGGGUGUUACAGAAAGGGCAUCUACUUUAGUACAAGCAGAGAGGCAAUACUUGUUUAAGAAAUAGGAGAAACAAAAUCUUAAUAAACAUGGAUGCUUUUGUUGAGAAGAAAUAAAAAACAAAGUUUUCCAGCUGAGGCUUGAUUAGAGAGAGAAAGAAAGCUUUCACAAAGCCAGGAAGGGAAGUCUGGAAUUGAGGCAAAAGGCCAUUGGCAAAUCUCAGUGAAGGUUUAUUGAACACUUUCUAUGUGUUCCCAGGAUUCUGAGGAAACAGAGAUGAGUUGGAUACGGCCCUGCCCUGAAGGAGUUUGCAGGUUAUAGCCAAUGAUAAGUGGGAAAGUGGACUCUUAAAAAGACUAGUUUGACAAGAUUAUAUAGAAGAGAUGGAAAGUUAAGAAACCCUAAGCACAAAAGUUGAGGCAGAAUCCAAACUGAAGGCAAAGUAUGUCUAGCAGGUCAUUUUAGGGACAUUGAUUUGUUUGGCUUCUUCUUCCCCAGUGUUUUCAGCUUUGGAGCUUCAAUCGAACUUUUGAGACAAGAAGGGACAGAGGAGCUUUGUCAUGUCAUCACCAAGACUGGCUUUAUGGAGAAAGUCAUUAAUCAAGGCAAGCAGGGCAUUUUGCAAAUAUCCAGGCCUGGCGAAUCCAACCACCUCAACUGAGGAAACUUGUACCUGGAAGAAUCUAAAUGUGACUCAGCCCUCCCUGGAAAUGACUGAGCUUCAGCCUGAAGGACUUCGUUACCUGAGGGAAAUCCUUAUGGAUCAGGCUUGAAUUAUUUUUAUUUACAUGCUUUGUUGAAGGUGAGCUUGUUUUCCUAAACUUGUAUGCUCAGCUGUUCACCUGAACCCCUGGACUGGAGGGACUGUUGACACUCACAGUUCUCUGGAUGGGUCACCACUUGCCCUGCCAGCACCGUGCUCUCACCUUGUUGGAAGGAAGUUUAAAUAAUACAGAGAAGAUGUCAUAGAGGUGAUGAGUUUUAAAUGAGCAUAUUAUGAUAACAAAAAAUGUUCCAAAUUUCUAUAACCUUCAAUGCCUCUCAAGAAAGAUUUCUGGAAGUUGCUUUAUAGUCCCUAGGAAUGACAGUCACAUAGCAGGAUUGUUUCUUCUUCUUUUUAUGCACUUUGUGCCAGGGAUUCUUUUGAGAAUCUUAGGAAACCUAUGGAUCCCCUUCCUAGCAAAAUAUAUAUACAUACAAUAAUUUUAAUGUAAUUUUUGAACUAUCCCUAGACAGGUUAACAGGGCCCAGAUUGAGAUAUAUGAUAACUCCUCUCAUGAAUGGUUUAAAAACUG